UAUGAGGAUGAGACUGUGAGUGCUUGAUCCUUUCCGAUCUCGAUAGCUAAGCAGGGCUGGGCCGGUGUAAUACUUGGAUGGGAGAUCACCGUGGUAGACCGGGCACUGUUAGCC
rnacentral:rRNA from 12 species